CUAAGGCCUCAAAUGAGAGGCAAAUGCUUACAAUUGAAUCUCAGCUUCUGGAUUAAUCUCUUGACUUUCCUAGAAUCCAGACUUUCCAGCCCUGGCUCAGGGAAGCACCAUUCAAUGAAUGCUGAAAGGAGAAAUGCUUUAUAAUUCCAAACCAGCACUGGAAACAUCUUAGAAUACGUGUUCUUUCCCCAGGCCUUCAAAUUACUAAGUCGUUCUCAUCUAUCACUUUGUGACACAGCUGGGUCUCUCCUGGAACGAAUUCCCACAGACAAACUCUUCACCAGACCAUCAACUCAGAAGGGCAAAACGAGGAGCUUAUUGUGAAGAGUUUGGGCCAAACCACCCAGAGCUUCCUGUGCCAGAGAGGCUCGAUAAAAUCACUCAGCAAAUGGAAAAAUAUUUAUUUUGUGCUUAUUCUAAGAAAUGUGAUCCAUCAAAAUGAGCUGUCAAGUCCUUUCACUUCCAAGGACAGUGUCCACACAGUCCAGGCUGCCUCUGGAGCUGGAAUCAAAUCCAAGUUAGAGGCAAGUGAGGGCCAUACAGAUGUCUUCAAGGGUAUGCCGUAGCACGGACUUAAGGCACCAUCUGCAGACUCAGACUGCCUGGGUUUCAGCCCAACUCUCUCAUCCCUUAGCUGUGAAAAUUGGGCAAGUUGCUUAACCAUCCCUUAAUGCCAUUUUCCC
rnacentral:lncRNA from 1 species